rfam:Cladophialophora immunda strain CBS 83496 unplaced genomic scaffold supercont1.2, whole genome shotgun sequence.
GGUCCCUUAGAUCAGCUGGUUAGAUCGUGGUGCUAAUAACGCCAAGGUCGCGAGUUCGAGCCUCGUAGGGACCA